CAUCCCAUCCAAGAUGGCGGCCGGGACAUCGACAGCGGCCGCAAGCUCGUCCCUCUGCCCGUGGAUGCCGUAGAAUGCAGAUACUGUAAUUCACAGAUGGAACCCCAGUUCUGCAACUCACUUUGGAGGAGAUGUGAGGGAGAAUUCUGUACACUGAGAGAAACAUUUUCAACCAAAGAUGGUGCAUUGAUUCAAUACCACAAAAGCUGCGGCAUUCAGUCCAGGUGCUGGCAAUGUGGAGGAGAAAAAUUCAGCCAGGAUGGAACUCUGCGGGAGGUGUACACAUGCUGUGAGACCGACCUAUGCUUUUGAGUGUAGGACUGACAUAAUAUUUAGAGAAUUCAUGUCCUUUAUCCAUGGUGGAAGUUAGGUCUUCAUCCUGCCAUUGCAAUUUAAAUGACAGACGAAAGCCCUCUGCAGGUGUUCUGAUGCAGUGUACUAUAAUCCCAUGAGGGAGGCUGGGGGGAGGAAGUGCAAACCCACUGGCUCCACCCCCAUCCUCAUCCUCAUCACCAUGAACUGGCUGAGAUUUAUCAACUUUAGCACUGUCGGAGAGAAGCACAGCAGGGACUGACUUGACUGUA